rnacentral:rRNA from 1 species
ACGAGCGGGCGUAAGACUACAAACCGCGAGGUGAGUAACGCGUGGGAACGUACCUUUUGGUUCGGAACAACACAGGGAAACUUGUGCUAAUACCGGAUAAGCCCUUACGGGGAAAGAUUUAUCGCCGAAAGAUCGGCCCGCGUCUGAUUAGCUAGUUGGUGAGGUAAUGGCUCACCAAGGCGACGAUCAGUAGCUGGUCUGAGAGGAUGAUCAGCCACAUUGGGACUGAGACACGAUCAAAAUUUAUACGGGAGGCAGCGGUGGGGAAUAUUGGACAAUGGGGGCAACCCUGAUCCAGCCAUGCCGGCGUGAGUGAUGAAGGCCCUAGGGUUGUAAAGCUCUUUUGUGCGGGAAGAUAAUGACGGUACCGCAAGAAUAAGCCCCGGCUAACUUCGUGCCAGCAGCCGCGAUAAUACGAAGGGGGGCUAGCGUUGCUUCGGAAUCCACUGGGGCGUAAAGGGUGCGUAGGCGGGGUCUUUUAAGGUCAAGGGGUGAAAAUCCUGGAAGCUCAACUCCCAGAACCUGCCCUUUUGAAUACUUGAAGAUCUUUGGAGUCCCGGGGAGAAGGUGAGUGGAAACUGGCGAAGUGUAGAAGGUGAAAAUUUUCGUUAGGAAUAAUUUCGCCAAG